AAAGGUGUUUGUUAGUAGGCACACCACUUUCUUGAAAAAUAAACUCAUUUAAGAAGGUGGCAGUGGGAAGAAUAUUGAACUUAUAGAAGUUUAGGAUCUAUAAAUCGAUCUAGAAAUACCUAUGUUUGAACCACAAGAAGAUCCUCAAUCAGAAGUAUCCAAAGAUGAGGUACAUCCAUAAUACACACCUCUUCUCCAA
rnacentral:lncRNA from 1 species